UGAAAGUGAAACCAAGGAGACGAGUGUGUGUGUGUGUGUGUGUGUGUGUGUGUGUGUGUGUGUGUGUGUGUGUGUGUGUGUGUGUGUGUGUGUGCAGACCGUGAGGAUCAUGGCGUUUAUCACAGACAUCACCGUCACCAUCCAUGAAGCUGAUUAUAGAGACCCUGGAGCACUGAUGAAGAUCCUCCGACCUUACGGUCCCCAGGAGAGAGGUUCCUGCUACAGAGUGAGGGGAACCAUGGAGGAGCUGGAGCAGCUCUCAGUCCUACUGUCAGCGUUGGCUCGUCCUGCUCAGCGCGAAGCUUCGCCUCACGUGAAGUCUGUGGAUGUGUCCGCCGUCGUUAUGGAAUACAUUCAGCAAAAACGUGCAGAAGAACUCGACAGAAUUCAAGGGAGCAGUUUUGUGAUUGAACCACAGGCUGACCUCAGUGGCACCGUGAGAGUGACCAUACGACCGCGGCAGGUCUCCACGCACCCUGCUCACGCUGACUGUGUCAGACAGAGAUUCAUCACAUUCUACCAGAGGACGGCCUCUGACCUGCAGGUCUCUUCUGUCCCGGUGAGCCCACAUGACCUCAGAGACCUGCAGAGGAGAUUCCAACAACUGAUGUUUAAACACAGCGACAAACGUGACGACGUGAUAGUGACUGGGCCUUUUGUUCACAUCGCUAAACUGAGAGAGUUCCUUUUACAAAAGACACCAAGUGUAAGCGAGAGUCCAGUGAACAAAGGUGCGUCCAACGUUCCAGGCAGUGGUCAGCCUACGCACAGCAGAGAUCCUGAAGAAGAAUCCUGUCCGAUCUGCAUGGAGUCGAUGGCAACAGCAGAGAAAACGACCCUGAGGUGCAAGCACUCCUUCUGCAGUGGAUGUCUGAAACAGGCAUUCAGCUACAAGCCUGUGUGUCCGACGUGUGGAGCGUUAUACGGCACAUUGAGGGGAACACAGCCUGAUGGAGGCACAAUGAAGGUCACCAGGAACUCUUCCUCUGUACCUGGAUAUGAGAAAUAUGGUACGAUAGUCAUCCAGUAUCGCAUCCCAAGUGGCAUCCAAAAGGAGGAGCAUCCGAGCCCCGGUGAGCCGUACGAAGGUGUGUCCCGCACGGCCUAUCUCCCACACUCCCCAGAGGGCCAGAGGGUCCUGGGACUGUUGCGACGGGCCUUCGAUCAGAGACUCAUCUUCAGGGUGGGUCGCUCCACCACCAGCGGCAGGAACAAUGUGGUCACAUGGAACGAUAUUCACCACAAAACCUCCACACAUGGAGGAUCAACACACUAUGGAUACCCAGAUCCUGAUUACCUCAGCCGGGUUGCAGACGAACUCAAGGUCAAGGGAAUUGAAGGAGUCACUUCACACAGGAAGUGACUCACAAGCCCGUGGAAUGUGUCAGGUUAAGUUACUCUGUUAUCUCUACAAAGUUAUGUACAAUCAAGGUAAAAGUCACACAGAUUAGAUUAGAUUAGACACAGAAGGUGUAAUUCUUUCCUUUUUAUUGUCAUUUGAUGUUCCACGUUCAAAAUCAAAUCCCUCGAUUGCCACCGCUCCCCUGUGUACCCCCCACCCGCCUUGGUGCCCCCCACCCCCCUGUGUGCCCCCCGCCCUGCAGACUAUCAGAAAGUACAUACAUAAGUACAUACAUUCUGAUAUCUGAAAAAAUGUGUUGGCUAAUGUACUUGUUAAUCACGUCACAAGAGUGAUGUGAUUCGAAUUUUCACUCACCAAGAUUUCUCUACACAGCCCUGGCACUUUUAGUGCUUCACAAGAAUAAAACAUUAUAUAUAUAUAUAUAUAUAUAUAUAUAAAUAAAGAUGACUUACUUACUCAAACAAGUGACCUUGGUAACCACAAACCCUGCUUCAUAGUCCAGGUUCACUUUGUCCUUUAUUUGAAGCUUGUCCUAAAUAAUUGACUUGAGUUGUAUCUAUAUUUAUCUUUAGUUAUGUUUCACUAGUAUAUGUAGUGUAUAUUAUAUUAUUGCAUGGUCUGAUCUGUUGUGUUUAUGGACUUGCUGUGUGAUUUGCAUAUUUAGUUUGAGGAAAGUGAUCAGAGCUGGUUUGCGGUUGAUUUGGCUCAGGUGAGAGAUCCCUCACCCACUCACACACGUCAGUGACGUCACCUGGGUCUGAGGGCCUGAACUGGUAUUAAGAGGAACGGGACAGCACCUGGACCUUCACCACGCUGAGACCUGCCUGUUGACUGUGCUCACACUCACUGAUUGAUUUACCUGCAGUUCACCAACAGCCUUUUUUAAAAAAUUGGCCAGAGAUGUGAUGCGUUAUGAAAAAAGCAAAAACUAAAACGUGGGAAAUGCAUCACGUCAUUUGUCAGGUGAGUGGUGAAAUGAUCCUCACUGACGUCUAGUCUGUCUGAUUUGUGUUCCACAGUCAGAGGUGCGUCUGGUUCAAUUAGGCCCUGCUAAUGUGUCCACAAGGUAAAUAAGUUGUCAUUGAAACGCAGGAAAAUAUCUGUAAACUCACUCUGACACACACACACGCUCACAGACAGCAGCAUAUGUCGUCACAUGAGACAAAAGGCUGAGUCUACGGUCGACAAGCUGAAUUUAAAUCAGUUGUGUGAAGAGGCACUUUCAAAGAAAGAACAAAGACCAGAUGUCCCUUUAUCUAGAGAACAUUUAUUAUGUCUCAUAUUCAAUCUUCACUUCUCCAGUCGCUGCCUGAUCACUCCCAGCUCUGAGCUACAUACAAUAUCACAUCUGUGAUCACCAAUGUCUUCCACAACCUCCAUGAGCCUAACUUGCAAAGGAGAACAAAGAAAACAGUUCAACAUGUAUGAAAAUAAAAUUCAUAUGAUUUGAGACAAUAUGAAAGUAAGAGCAACAUAUCGUGAAAAGGCUUUGUUAAAUGUUUUAGAGCAUUUUGAGACUAAAGGCAGAUGAAGAUGAUUUUGGAAACUUGACCUUUGAAUAUGUGACUGAUACAAACAUUGAAGUUCAUACAUCAACUCUUCUGAUUCUUUUAGUGCGUCACUGAUGGCCCAUCACGUUUCAACAGUUAAGUAAAGAGCGUGUUUUUAUUUUGAGAGUAAAACACUGAACAUUGACAUGUCCCUGGUUUACCAUCAACCUCUCACUCACCUGGUGUCUGGCUGUAGUACAGGUCGUAAGCCCCGCCCCCUGGUGUCUGACGGCAGUACAGGCCGUAAGCCCCGCCCCCCGGUGUCUGGCUGUAGUACAGGCAGUAAGCCCCGCCCCCCGGUGUCUGGCUGCAGUACAGGCAGUAAGCCCCGCCCCCCGGUGUCUGGCUGCAGUGCAGACAGUAAGCCCCGCCCCCUGGUGUCUGACGGCGGUACAGGCCGUAAGCCCCGCCCCCUGGUGUCUGGCUGCAGUACAGGCCGUAAGCCCCGCCCCCUGGUGUCUGGCUGCAGUGCAGACAGUAAGCCCCGCCUCCUAAGAUGGGACAAGAACCAUUUUAAAUAGUCGAAAACAAUCAAAAACAUUUUUUCCAGAUGAUUUCUAUCAUGUGGACUCAUUCUUUACAUGAAUGACCUUGCCAAGGAUGAGGAAAGAUGUAGCUUAACUACCAUCAGACGCCUCACCAUGUCCAGUCAACGCAUUAGACGUCAGUGUGAUACAAGCUCUAUGUCUCUUAAUAGGAACAAGGUUUCCCACCUCUGUUUUGUGUUAAAGAUAGACAGUAUAUAUAAAUCAAGCAUAGUAAUGUGCAUGGGGCAGGUCACAUCCCAGACCUCUCCCUGUACUGGAACAGCCAGACAUUACACAUCUUCAGAUAAGAACAUUUCCCUAAAUGUUUUAAAGACCCGAGUCCAAACGCAUGAUGAAAAGAUCCUUGUGGAUUCCUUCAUUGUUUGACUAUAACCCAAUUCACUACUAAGUGAAAAGUAUAAAUAUUUCUAUUUGGAUUUUGCUAAGAACAUAGCUGGCAUUGAUCAGGUAUACAAUCCUCAACGGCCCCUUGUCUAGAGAAGAGUGCUUGGUGUGUCACUGAAAAUUACAAAAGGUACACGGGAUGUUUUAUCAAGCUCUAAGAGAAAAUCGUGACAUUGGACCAUGACUGAAACAUUCAGAUGUGACAGGCUCAACUCCUGAGUGAAGCCUGGCUGAUGUGCAGUUUGACAGUGCUCCAUCAUUUGAAUUGCUUUUAUGAAUGAAACUGCUCCAGGAUGUGUAAAACAGAGAUAUUCCCGUCUUAUGGUUUUAAACAAGUUAUCUCCUACAUUAUCCGAGACAGUGAACACAACAUGGAUGUGGGUGUGACGGGACAGGGGUUGUUGUCUUAGUCUCAUACUAAUGGUUGCUUGAUUAAUAAUGCUUUCAUGUUGCACCGUUUAAUAUUUAGAACAUUUAUUCCUCCUUCAAGCAUUAUAUAUUUUUAAUGUAAGCUCUGAGGCAAGUGUGGGAAAAAAAUAAUCUGGCGAUUUUAUUCUAUAAAUCUGGUCUCAGCUGCUUUUCCUCCUGUUGGGAAAGUAUGUUGUUGUUGUAAUACUAACGUUGACCACCAGAGGCUGGGAUGUUAGAGAUUAUAGAUCAUUACAGUAACUGUCCUUCGCAUAACAACUUAUGCAUGUAGAAAUAAAACCUGCUCUAGAUCA